GAUGAAGAACCAGCGAAAUGCGAUAAGUAAUGUGAAUUGCAGAAUUCAGUGAAUCAUCGAAUCUUUGAACGCACAUUGCGCCCGCUAGUAUUCUGGCGGGCAUGCCUGUCCGAGCGUCAUUUCAACCCUCAAGCCCCCGGGCUUGGUGUUGGGGAUCGGCGAGCCUCCGCGCCCGCCGUCCCCUAAAUCUAGUGGCGGUCUCGCUGUAGCUUCCUCUGCGUAGUAGCACACCUCGCACUGGGAAACAGCGCGGCCACGCCGUUAAACCCCCAACUUCUGAACGUUUGACCUCGGAUCAGGUAGGAAUACCCGCUGAACUUAAGCAUAUCAAUAAGCGGAGGA
rnacentral:misc_RNA from 1 species